UAGGAAUGAUUUUAUUGGAGGUUUGGCAGAGGACAAGUGCCUGCAGAAAAUAACCAGUAGCUUCUCAGGCUGCUAAGAGCACGGAAAGCCACGGGAGUGUCAGCAAGACCAUCAUCUACAACUGCCCAGUUUUAACAGCUUGCAAGGACUAAGAGGUCUGCUGAGAGUGUGUUGUGGCAGCAGGAAGACAGCAAACACACCAGCAGUCCUUUACUUGCAGGUGAUGGCCUCCUGCAGCGAGAAGGGAUGGAUCAAAUGGCUUUCAAGGAGCUCAGUCAGUGGAGGAAUCCAGGAACAUACAGCCAAGCGGAUGAGCAACGUGCAGGUCUUCCCACCACGGCCUUUCCCAGUUAAACCGACCCUUCCCAACAGGGCACUGCAGCAAGUGUUCCCAGAAAUCCAACUCGCCUGACCACAUUUCCAGCGUCUAGAAAACCACUUGCCGAGGAAACAAGUUACUCAGGGUUGCUCAGAGAUGCUGUGACAGAAACAGGAGCUCAGCUUGGGUCCCCUGCCUCUCAGCUGGCCAACUGUACUCUGCUGGCAGCCUCCCACCAGCUCCAAGCCAAAAAAAGAGUCUCCAGUUCAAGGUAUGUUUUUGUUAUUGUGCAACGCUGUCUAUAAUUUGGGUAAAAUCCUG
rnacentral:lncRNA from 1 species